GACAAUGUGCCAGAGUGGUUAAUGGGUUAGACUUGAAUCUUCACAUUCAUGGCAUCUAAUGGCUUCGGCCGCGCAGGUUCGAACCCUGUCAUUGUCG